rnacentral:rRNA from 1 species
AUGAACGCUAGCGGCAGGCCUAACACAUGCAAGUCGAGGGAGAAGCCCUUUCGGGGGCAGAAACCGGCGCACGGGUGCGUCACGCGUAUGCAACCUACCUUUCACAGGGGGAUAGCCCGAAGAAAUUUGGAUUAAUACCCCAUAAUAUUGUUGGAUGGCAUCAUUUGGCAAUUAAAACUGCGGUGGUGAAAGAUGGGCAUGCGUCCUAUUAGCUAGUUGGAGUGGUAACGGCACCCCAAGGCUACGAUAGGUAGGGGUCCUGAGAGGGAGAUCCCCCACACUGGUACUGAGACAGGGACCAGACUCCUACGGGAGGCAGCAGUGAGGAAUAUUGGUCAAUGGUCGGAAGACUGAACCAGCCAUGCCGCGUGCAGGAAGAAUGCCUUAUGGGUUGUAAACUGCUUUUAUAUGGGAAGAAUAAGGCGUACGUGUACGUUGAUGACGGUACCAUAUGAAUAAGCAUCGGCUAACUCCGUG